GACGAACGCUGGCGGCGUGCUUAACACAUGCAAGUCGAACGGAAAGGCCCUGCUUUUGUGGGGUGCUCGAGUGGCGAACGGGUGAGUAACACGUGAGUAACCUGCCCUUGACUUUGGGAUAACUUCAGGAAACUGGGGCUAAUACCGGAUAGGAGCUCCUGCUGCAUGGUGGGGGUUGGAAAGUUUCGGCGGUUGGGGAUGGACUCGCGGCUUAUCAGCUUGUUGGUGGGGUAGUGGCUUACCAAGGCUUUGACGGGUAGCCGGCCUGGGAGGGUGACCGGCCACAUUGGGACUGAGAUACGGCCCAGACUCCUACGGGAGGCAGCAGUGGGGAAUAUUGCACAAUGGGCGGAAGCCGGAUGCAGCAACGCCGCGUGCGGGAUGACGGCCUUCGGGUUGUAAACCGCUUUCGCUUGUGACGAAGCGUGAGUGACGGUAAUGGGUAAAGAAGCACCGGCUAACUACGU
rnacentral:rRNA from 1 species